GACGAACGCUGGCGGCGUGCUUAACACAUGCAAGUCGAACGAAGUGGCGAACGGGUGAGUAACGCGUAAUCACCCUGCCCUUCAGAGGGUGACAACAGUUGGAAACGACUGCUAAUACCGCAUACUGAUGGUGGGGAUUGCGUUAGAUUAGCUGGUUGGAGGGGUAACGGGCCACCAAGGCGAUGAUCAGUAGCCGGUCUGAGAGGAUGAACGGCGAAAAUGGGACUGAGAAACGGGCCAGACUCCCACGGGAGGCAGCAGUGGGGAAUCUUCCGCAAUGGACGAAAGUCUGACGGAGCAACGCCGCGUGAGUGAUGACGGCCUUCGGGUUGUAAAGCGCUGUUAAUCGGGACGCGGUACCGGAAUAGAAAGCCACGGCUAACUACGUGCCAGCCGCCGCGGUAAUAC
rnacentral:rRNA from 1 species